CCUACGGGUGGCAGCAGUGGGGGAUAUUGCACAAUGGGGGAAACCCUGAUGCAGCGACGCCGCGUGGGUGAAGAAGCGCCUCGGCGCGUAAAGCCCUGUCAGCAGGGAAGAAAAUGACGGUAACUGAAGAAGAAGCCCCGGCCAAAUACGGGCCAGCAGCCGCGGGAAUACGUAGGGGGCAAGCGUUAUACGGAUUUAAUGGGUGUAAAGGGGGCGCAGACGGGGAUGCAAGCCAGGCGUGAAAGCCCGGGGCCCAACCCCGGGACUGCACUUGGAACUGCGUGGCUAGAGUGCAGGAGGGGCAGGCGGAAUUCCUGGUGUAGCGGUGAAAUGCGUAGAUAUCAGGAGGAACACCGGUGGCGAAGGCGGCCUGCUGGACUGCAACUGACGUUGAGGCCCGAAAGCGUGGGGAGCAAACAGGAUUAGAUACCCUUGUAGUC
rnacentral:rRNA from 1 species